rnacentral:rRNA from 1 species
UACAGAGGUCUCAAGCGUUGUUCGGAUUCAUUGGGCGUAAAGGGUGCGUAGGUGGCGUCGUAAGUCAGGUGUGAAAUCUCGGGGCUCAACCCCGAAACUGCACUUGAUACUGCGAUGCUCGAGUACUGGAGAGGAGAUUGGAAUUUACGGUGUAGCAGUGAAAUGCGUAGAUAUCGAUAAGGAAGACCAGUGGCGAAGGCG